rnacentral:misc_RNA from 1 species
GUGAAUCAUCAAAUUUUUGAACGCAAAUUGCACUCUCCUCGGAGAGUAUGCCUGUUUGAGGGUCAGACUAUAAAAAAUCGAGAUAGUUGUUGUUUCGCGGUGACGUUCGUCGGAAAUGGGGGUAUCUUAAAUCCUUUUGGUUUUAAGAGAGUUAAAAGUUUCUUUUUGGUUUUAUGAAGGUUUCUAAGAUUUAUUUCUUUAUACGUUUAAGGGUAUCGAUUUUUAUUAGAAGUGACCAUCAUAUCGGAUAGAGUACAUAAUCUUUCAUUAAUCGCACUUAGAUAGGUAAG